rnacentral:rRNA from 1 species
AGUGAACGCUGGCGGUAGGCCUAACACAUGCCAGUCGAACGGCAGCACAGUAAGAGCUUGCUCUUACGGGUGGCGAGUGGCGGACGGGUGAGGAAUACAUCGGAAUCUACUUUUUCGUGGGGGAUAACGUAGGGAAACUUACGCUAAUACCGCAUACGACCUACGGGUGAAAGCAGGGGAUCUUCGGACCUUGCGCGAUUGAAUGAGCCGAUGUCGGAUUAGCUAGUUGGCGGGGUAAAGGCCCACCAAGGCGACGAUCCGUAGCUGGUCUGAGAGGAUGAUCAGCCACACUGGAACUGAGACACGGUCCAGACUCCUACGGGAGGCAGCAGUGGGGAAUAUUGGACAAUGGGCGCAAGCCUGAUCCAGCCAUACCGCGUGGGUGAAGAAGGCCUUCGGGUUGUAAAGCCCUUUUGUUGAGAAAGAAAAGCAGCAGGUUAAUACCCCGCUGUUCUGACGGUACCCAAAGAAUAAGCACCGGCUAACUUCGUG